UACGGAGGGGGCUAGCGUUGUUCGGAAUUACUGGGCGUAAAGCGCGCGUAGGCGGACCUGCAAGUCGGGGGUGAAAGCCCGAGGCUCAACCUCGGAACUGCCUUCGAUACUGAUGGUCUCGAGUCCGGAAGAGGUGAGUGGAAUUCCGAGUGUAGAGGUGAAAUUCGUAGAUAUUCGGAGGAACACCAGUGGCGAAGGCGGCUCACUGGUCCGGUACUGACGCUGAGGUGCGAAAGCGUGGGGAGCAAACAGG
rnacentral:rRNA from 1 species